rnacentral:tRNA from 1 species
CCCGUAGCUCAAUUGGAUAGAGCACCUGACUUCGGAUCAGGCGGUUUGGGGUUCGAGAUACCAGUAUACGGUA